rnacentral:rRNA from 1 species
GACGAACGCUGGCGGCGUGCUUAACACAUGCAAGUCGAACGGAAAGGCCCUGCUUGCAGGGUACUCGAGUGGCGAACGGGUGAGUAACACGUGGGUGAUCUGCCCUGCACUUCGGGAUAAGCCUGGGAAACAGGGUCUAAUACCGGAUAGGAGCCAUUUUUAGUGUGAUGGUUGGAAAGUUUUUUCGGUGUAGGAUGAGCUCGCGGCCUAUCAGCUUGUUGGUGGGGUAAUGGCCUACCAAGGCGGCGACGGGUAGCCGGCCUGAGAGGGUGGACGGCCACAUUGGGACUGAGAUACGGCCCAGACUCCUACGGGAGGCAGCAGUGGGGAAUAUUGCACAAUGGGCGCAAGCCUGAUGCAGCGACGCCGCGUGGGGGAUGACGGCCUUCGGGUUGUAAACUCCUUUCGCUAGGGACGAAGCUUUUGUGACGGUACCUAGAUAAGAAGCACCGGCUAACUACGUG